UUAGCUUAGCUUGGUCCAAUCCAAUGUAUGCGCAACUCAAGAUAAUCUACUUACUUAGGGACCAUAAAUAUACAAAUACGACGAUCUAGAGUAAUAACAAAAAAGAUUACGAUAUUAGAGAAUUGUAAUAAAAAAAGGAAAGAGAUCUAAUUGAAAAGAUCUUUUUCCUAAAAUUCAGGGUUGGUCCAUUUUUUUUAUUACUUAUAUUUAUAUCAUAUUUACCUUCGAUCAAUAUUAUCCGAUCAAUAUUAUCUUUAUCUUGAUAUUGUUUUUGUUUAUUCAAUUUCAAUAUUAUGAGUCCUAAUUAGAAUAGGAAUUCUUAUGGUAUCAAUUUAGGGUCUAUGAUUUUAAAAAAGCUGUUCUUUAUAUAGAUAUAGAAUGAUUCCCAUUUCAGUCGAUUUCUUCAUUCAAUUCAAUGAUUGACCAAAAGAAAUUUUUUUUUUUCAUAAAUAAUAAAAUAAAUUGCAUGAACUUAGCUCAAUCAAAUACUGAUAUUGAUGUUUUAUUUGUAUGCAAUGAUUUGGUCUAAUGAAUUCGUCCAUUUAGAUUGUAUCCAUGUGAGAUAAUGCUAAAUAAAAAAUAAAAGGAAGAGACGAAUUUACAUUACAAAAAACGAUAUAAAAAAAAUGAUUAGGAAAAAAAGGGGGGGGGAAAUUAGGUAUAUGGAAUCUAAUGGCUAUAAGACAGCUCUUGUCUAUCCUUUGAGGAAUAAUUCUAGAAUCCAAUUGAAUCUAAGACAUGAAUAGUUGGUUUACGUUAUGUAAGAAACACAUGUAUAUGGGAUAUUAGAUAUUGACUAGUUAUAUACGAACAUAUUGACUAGUUAUAUACGAACUCAAAAUAUAUCUAAUCCAACCUACUACUGUGGAGUUAGAUAGGUAUUCCAAUAGAAGAAUAGAAGUUCCUCUGUUUCGUCUUUGCUUUGAAUUGAACGAAUAAGAGAUAAAAUAAAGACAAAAACGAAGAAUUCAAAGCAAAGAAUGGGUUGGAAAAAAGAAAGGGAAGAACAAAGUAUGUGCGGAUUCAAAAAAAUCUAGUGGAUAGGACCUAAAAAAAAGAUGUCGAAAUAGUUCUGACGGUUCAAUAAUCUUCUCACUUCCAUUCGGAGUUCUUAGUUACUUCGGCAGGUUGAAUCUUAGCGAUGGAAUAAUUAAGUCAAAAUUCAUUGGAUGAUUGUAUCAUUAACCAUUUCUUUAUUUUGGUGCGAGGAACUUAUCAUGAAUCCACUGAUUUCUGCCGCUUCCGUUAUUGCUGCUGGGUUGGCUGUCGGGCUUGCUUCUAUUGGACCUGGAGUUGGUCAAGGUACUGCUGCGGGCCAAGCUGUAGAAGGUAUCGCGAGACAACCCGAGGCGGAGGGAAAAAUACGAGGUACUUUAUUGCUUAGUUUGGCUUUUAUGGAAGCUUUAACAAUUUAUGGGCUGGUUGUAGCAUUGGCACUCUUAUUUGCGAAUCCCUUUGUUUAAUCCUAUAAACAUGAGAAUUUUGUAUUUUUUUUUCUUAUUUUAUGGCUUGGGACUUACUCCUCGCUUUUUCGAAUUCUAUCAAGAUUUCACCCCUACAAUUAAUUAUUCGUUGGGACAAUAAUCCAUGGGAAGGAUUAAUUUGAGGAUGAGGAAUUAUCACACCGACUCGCUUUCUUCCUUCCCCUUCUUAGUUCAAGAGAACCCCUUAUUUCUCAUUUAUUGUUUAAAGGAGUAUUGCAACGAAUGAGGUAUUUUGCCAUUGACAUGAAACCUGCCCCCUAAUUCUAAUAAGAAUUAUUAUUAUAAUGAAUUUUCAAUUGAAAAAAAAUACAUUUCUAGCUAACUAGAUAAAUAGAAUAUAUUUUUGACUCCGUUUAGACAUAGGUAAAUGAAAAUUCAUUAUUUAUGAAUAAUUUUAUAAAAAAUUUAAUAAUUUAUUAAAACAAAAAAAGAAAUACAUAGAAUUAGAAUAAUUAGAAUAAUAUAAAUAUGAUAGAAUAGAAUAAAUGGAAAAGGAGUCAAAGCGAUAUAAUACAAAAAAAAGAACCGAGUUCUUUUUUUUUAGUCUAUCUAAAAUAAAAUAGGAGAUCAUAUGAAAAAUGUAACCGAUUCUUUCGUUCCUUGGUCACUGGCCAUCCGCCGGGAGUUUCGGGGUUAAUACCGAUAUUUUAGCAACAAAUCCAAUAAAUCUAAGUGUAGUCCUUGGUGUAUUGAUCUUUUUUGGAAAGGGAGUGUGUGCGAGUUGUUUAUUUCAAGAAUAGGCUGGAUUCACCCAGUUGUACUUUUUUUCAUUAUAACUAGGAAAGAAAAGAGUGCAUGAUCCCGCGAAUUACUUCUGAAUAAAUUUUUAAAAUCAUAUUAUAGAACCAUAGCAUUUCGUGAUUCAUUGGUACAUCGACUUUGAUUCUCUAUUAACCAAUAAUCUGGGACCAUUAACAUGGUUAAGGCCAAACCCGUUUGAAGUUCAGAUGCAGCAGGGUACUCUUUCUACUACUAUGUUACUAAAUACAGAAAUAUUUUCAAAACAAAAAUGUUUU
rnacentral:lncRNA from 1 species